rnacentral:tRNA from 1 species
AGGUGCGUAGCUCAGUAGGCAAGAGCAACCUGACCAUACGGAGGUGUGUCGAUGGUUCGAGUCCAUCCGUACCGA